rnacentral:rRNA from 1 species
GGGGGAUAUUGGACAAUGGGGGAAACCCUGAUCCAGCGACGCCGCGUGAGUGAAGAAGUAUUUCGGUAUGUAAAGCUCUAUCAGCAGGGAAGAAAGAAAUGACGGUACCUGAGUAAGAAGCCCCGGCUAACUAC